rnacentral:miRNA from 1 species
AUAAUUGCAUGCACAUAUAUGUGUGUGUGAGUGUAUGUGUACAUACAAACACAUAAAUACACACUACAUAUGCAGCAAAUUU